rnacentral:RNase_P_RNA from 1 species
GGAGUUGGCCAGACAGUCGCCGCUGCGCCGGGUUUUCGGAUCGGGCGCAGGGGAGGAAAGUCCGGGCUCCGCAGGGCAGAGUGCCAGGUAAUGCCUGGGCGGCGUGAGCCGACGGAAAGUGCAGCAGAGAGCAGACCGCCUACGUCUCCUCAGGGAGGCCGGCAAGGGUGAAAGGGUGCGGUAAGAGCGCACCGCGCGCCUGGUAACAGUGCGUGGCAAGGUAAACCCCACUCGGAGCAAGACCAAAUAGGAACCCAUUGACGUGGCCCGCGUCGGGUUCGGGUAGGUUGCUUGAGGGCCGUGGUGACGCGGCUCCUAGAGGAAUGGCUGUCCACGACAGAACCCGGCUUAUCGGCUGACUCCCCCC